rnacentral:rRNA from 1 species
GAUGAACGCUGGCGGCGUGCCUAAUACAUGCAAGUCGAGCGAACAGACGAGGAGCUUGCUCCUCUGACGUUAGCGGCGGACGGGUGAGUAAAACGUGGAUAACCUACCUAUAAGACUGGGAUAACUUCGGGAAACCGGAGCUAAUACCGGAUAAUAUAUUGAACCGCAUGGUUCAAUAGUGAAAGACGGUUUUGCUGUCACUUAUAGAUGGAUCCGCGCCGCAUUAGCUAGUUGGUAAGGUAACGGCUUACCAAGGCAACGAUGCGUAGCCGACCUGAGAGGGUGAUCGGCCACACUGGAACUGAGACACGGUCCAGACUCCUACGGGAGGCAGCAGUAGGGAAUCUUCCGCAAUGGGCGAAAGCCUGACGGAGCAACGCCGCGUGAGUGAUGAAGGUCUUCGGAUCGUAAAACUCUGUUAUUAGGGAAGAACAAAUGUGUAAGUAACUAUGCACGUCUGGACGGUACCUAAGCAGAAAGCCACGGCUAACUACG